CUCAACAUGUCUUGAAGUUCUCCAAAGUAAAUCCACCUGUGUUUGUGUGACUGCAUUACACUCCCACUGCUGUGGAACCUGAACAAUAACCAGAACAAAGUCUGAAAUAAAAACUGCCAAACAGCUGCACCACUGAGUCACACUUUAUUUUCUACGCUUGUAAAAAGGUUUCGUUUCUGAUCUGCAAUGAACGUCUGCACUCUGUCACACUCUGAAUGAAGUUCCGGCUUCUAUGUCACUGAAAUGCGACAAACCAGGAAACAGGAAGUUCUUCGUCCUCAGUAAAGAGACACGCACAGACGAUCAGACUGAGUUCAGACCAAACUAGCAGCUUCCUCUGAGUGAGUCCAGCUACAGGAGAGAAAAGUGGAAAACUCCAACACUGCUGCUUCAAGCUGCUGACGCUCCACACACUGAAGCUUCACUCACAGACUCAAUGGCUUCCAGAUCAGAGGAGGAUCUCUGCUGUCCGGUCUGUCAGGAGGUCUUCAGAGAUCCUGUUCUUCUGUCAUGUAGCCACAGCUUCUGUAAAGACUGUCUGAAGAGAUGGUGGAGAAAAAAACAGAUACGUGAGUGUCCAGUUUGUAAUAAAAUAUCAGUGUAUGAUCCACCUUUAAACCGAGCUUUAAAGAACCUGUGUGAGUCGUUCUUACAGGAGAGAGAUCAGAGAGCUUCAGAGGCUCUCUGCAGUCUGCACUCUGAGAAACUCAAACUCUUCUGUCUGGACCAUCAGCAGCCAGUGUGUGUCGUCUGCAGAGACUCAGAAAAA